CCGCCGUUGAGGCCUUGGGCGGAUCUCCAUGCCGAUCUCAUCAUCGCCAUCGUGGACCACCUGCGAUCGCUGAUGGACUACGUCUACAUCCGCGGCGUCUGCGCGGCAUGGCGGUCCGCGCUACCUUCCGAGUCGCCGUGCCUCCUCGUCCUCGACGACUUGCAGCCUCCCGUUUCAACACCGGUGCAGCACCUUGGCUUCCCUCUUUACAACACCCGUGCGUACGCCCUAUCCAUCCCCAUGCAGCGCACGUUCCACCUCCCCAUGCUCCGGUGCCACAGCAGCAGCGUCACCGGCUCCAGCAGAGGCUACCUCAUCAUCGCCAAUGGCGUCGACUGGCGUCGUCCUGGGAUCUUGCUACUGAACCCCGUCACCAGCGAACAGAUCGAGCUCCUUCCCCUGCCGAACAAGCACUACACCUACCCGCGCAAAGUCGUGCUUGGGCCGAACCUAAGGCCUGGUUGCUACACCGCCGUGGCCAUCUUCUACCAUGAGUACGCCACCAAGGUCGCCUACGUGACGAGCGGGGACGCGGAGUGGACGAUCGCCAAAGUUGCCGUGAAUGGAGCGAAGCUGGUCGAUCUGAUCUACGAUGCCGAAAGCGGCCGUGUAUAUUGCCUUGAUGAAUGUGGGGACGUGCAAGUACUCCACAUCCCCCGACGCGGCCGAAUGCAAGAACAGACGGUCACGCCAUUGCUGGCUGACCGUGUUGGUCCUAGCUUCGCCCCACCUUACGAAGCCGUGUCCAGCAAAAUAUCUUUCAUGCGCCUCUUCUUUUGCGAGGGCGCUCUAUACCAGGUGUGGCAGAACACCGGGGUUACCAUGCGGUUUCGGUUACCGGCCGGCGGUGUGUUCACAAUGUCCACGGACGAGAUACUCGUUCUAAGGUACUACCCAGAGCGAUGGCCAUGGUGGGAUGUUGUGACGGAUAUGGGAGGCUACUCCGUGUUCAUUGGCCAUAACAACACGGCAGUGGUGCAGGCUGAGGCCUUGUCGGGAGUAAGGCCCAACUGUGUCUAUUGGAUAGAUUGCAUGCAAUGCACGCCAUGGGUGUUUGACAUGAGCAAGAGAACCUCUAAGCGGUGUGUUCUUCCUCGCAGUGUAGGAAGGCCAAGAUGUUGGUACUUU
rnacentral:rRNA from 1 species